rnacentral:misc_RNA from 1 species
GAUGAAGAACGUAGCGAAAUGCGAUAAGUAAUGUGAAUUGCAGAAUUCAGUGAAUCAUCGAAUCUUUGAACGCACAUUGCGCCCGCCAGUAUUCUGGCGGGCAUGCCUGUUCGAGCGUCAUUUCAACCAUCAAGCCCCCGGCUUGUGUUGGGGACCUGCGGCUGCCGCAGGCCCUGAAAACCAGUGGCGGGCUCGCUAGUCACUCCGAGCGUAGUAAUACAUCUCGCUCAGGGCGUGCUGCGGGUUCCGGCCGUUAAAAGCCUUAUUUUACCCAAGGUUGACCUCGGAUCAGGUAGGAAGACCCGCUGAACUUAAGCAUAUCAAUAAGCGGAGGA